GACGAACGCUGGCGGCAGGCCUAACACAUGCAAGUCGAGCGGACCUUUCGGGGUCAGCGGCGGACGGGUGAGUAACGCGUGGGAAUAUGCCCUUCUCUACGGCAUAGUCCUGGGAAACUGGGGGUAAUACCGUAUACGCCCUUUGGGGGAAAGGUUUAUCGGGGAAGGAUUAGCCCGCGUGGGAUUAGGUUGUUGGUGGGGUAAUGGCCUACCAAGGCGACGAUCCAUAGCUGGGUUGAGAGGAUGCUCAGCCACACUGGUACUGAGACACGGCCCAGACUCUUACGGGAGGCAGCAGUGGGUAAUCUUAGAAAAUGGGGGCAAUCCUGAACGAGCCAGGCCGGGUGAGUGAUGAAGGUCGUAGGGUAGGAAAGCAAGUUAAGCUGGGAAGAUAAUGACGGUACCAGCAGAAGAAGCCCCGGCUAACUCCGUG
rnacentral:rRNA from 1 species